GAUGAACGCUGGCGGCGUGCCUAAUACAUGCAAGUCGAGCGAACGGACGAGAAGCUUGCUUCUCUGAUGUUAGCGGCGGACGGGUGAGUAACACGUGGAUAACCUACCUAUAAGACUGGGAUAACUUCGGGAAACCGGAGCUAAUACCGGAUGAUAUUUUGAACCGCAUGGUUCAACAGUGAAAGACGGUCUUGCUGUCACUUAUAGAUGGAUCCGCGCUGCAUUAGCUAGUUGGUAAGGUAACGGCUUACCAAGGCAACGAUGCAUAGCCGACCUGAGAGGGUGAUCGGCCACACUGGAACUGAGACACGGUCCAGACUCCUACGGGAGGCAGCAGUAGGGAAUCUUCCGCAAUGGGCGAAAGCCUGACGGAGCAGCGCCGCGUGAGUGAUGAAGGUCUUCGGAUCGUAAAACUCUGUUAUUAGGGAAGAACAUAUGUGUAAGUAACUGUGCACAUCUUGACGGUACCUAAUCAGAAAGCCACGGCUAACUACGUG
rnacentral:rRNA from 1 species